UAGGGAAUCUUCCACAAUGGACGCAAGUCUGAUGGAGCAACGCCGCGUGAGUGAAGAAGGUUUUCGGAUCGUAAAGCUCUGUUGUUGGUGAAGAAGGAUAGAGGCAGUAACUGGUCUUUAUUUGACGGUAAUCAACCAGAAAGUCAUGGCUAACUACGUGCCAGCAGCCGCGGUAAUACGAAGGUGGCAAGCGUUGUCCGGAUUUAUUGGGCGUAAAGCGAGCGCAGGCGGAAUGAUAAGUCUGAUGUGAAAGCCCACGGCUCAACCGUGGAACUGCAUCGGAAACUGUCAUUCGUGAGUGCAGAAGAGGAGAGUGGAAUUCCAUGUGUAGCGGUGGAAUGCGUAGAUAUAUGGAAGAACACCAGUGGCGAAGGCGGCUCUCUGGUCUGCAACUGACGCUGAGGCUCGAAAGCAUGGGUAGCGAACAGG
rnacentral:rRNA from 1 species